UCGCGGUAAAACCAUCCCUUUUGCCGUUAACGUUUUGACCGCUUCGCGUACCGCUGUACGACUCACUCCAAAUUGCUCGCCCAGCUCAAUCUCACCGGGCAAAAUGGUGCCGGGUUCAUAUUCACCUUUUAAGAUCCGUUGCGCCAGCUUCUCAGCCAGAACAUACGAAAGGUUUUUCUGUGCAGCUAACUGUUGUGCGCUUAAAGGCAUUACUAAUCUUCCUUUUUCUUUUUAUUCCUCCUUAGUAUGCCACCAGGAUGUGUGAUUACGGUUGCAAAAACGGCAAAUUGCUUGUUUUAUGGCACAUUAACGGGGCUUUUGCUGAAAAAAUGCGCGGUCAGAAAAUUAUUUUAAAUUUCCUCUUGUCAGGCCGGAAUAACUCCCUAUAAUGCGCCACCACUGACACGGAACAACGGCAAACACGCCGCCGGGUCAGCGGAGUUCUCCUGAGAGCUCCGACAGAGAAAGCAAAAAUAAAUGCUUGACUCUGUAGCGGGAAAGCGUAUUAUGCACACCCCGCGCCGCUGAGAAAAAGCGAGGCGGCACUGCUCUUUAACAAUUUAUCAGACAAUCUGUGUGGGC
rnacentral:rRNA from 1 species